rnacentral:sRNA from 1 species
GAUUAACCUCCGGGACGUUCCUCCCAAGUCACGGAUGGUCUAGAGAUCGGUCUCCUCCCAGCCGGUCUUUACAAGUAACACCCACCGCUCCUCCCGCGGUGGGUGUUGUUU